UACGAGGGGGGCGAGCGUUGUUCGGAAUUAUUGGGCGUAAAGAGCUCGUAGGCGGUUCGUCACGUCGGCUGUGAAAUCCCGAGGCUCAACCUCGGGUCUGCAGUCGAUACGGGCGGACUUGAGUACUGCAGGGGAGACUGGAAUUCCUGGUGUAGCGGUGAAAUGCGCAGAUAUCAGGAGGAACACCGGUGGCGAAGGCGGGUCUCUGGGCAGUAACUGACGCUGAGGAGCGAAAGCGUGGGGAGCGAACAGG
rnacentral:rRNA from 1 species